rnacentral:rRNA from 1 species
AGUGAACGCUGGCGGUAGGCCUAACACAUGCAAGUCGAACGGCAGCACAGUAAGAGCUUGCUCUUACGGGUGGCGAGUGGCGGACGGGUGAGGAAUACAUCGGAAUCUACUUUUUCGUGGGGGAUAACGUAGGGAAACUUACGCUAAUACCGCAUACGACCUACGGGUGAAAGCAGGGGAUCUUCGGACCUUGCGCGAUUGAAUGAGCCGAUGUCGGAUUAGCUAGUUGGCGGGGUAAAGGCCCACCAAGGCGACGAUCCGUAGCUGGUCUGGGAGGAUGAUCAGCCACACUGGAACUGAGACACGGUCCAGACUCCUACGGGAGGCAGCAGUGGGGAAUGUUGGACAAUGGGCGCAAGCCUGAUCCAGCCAUACCGCGUGGGUGAAGAAGGCCUUCGGGUUGUAAAGCCCUUUUGUUGGGAAAGAAAAGCAGCAGGUUAAUACCCCGCUGUUCUGACGGUACCCAAAGAAUAAGCACCGGCUAACUUCGUG